ACGCUGGCGGCAGGCCUAACACAUGCAAGUCGAGCGGUAGAGAGAAGCUUGCUUCUCUUGAGAGCGGCGGACGGGUGAGUAAUGCCUAGGAAUCUGCCUGGUAGUGGGGGAUAACGUUCGGAAACGGACGCUAAUACCGCAUACGUCCUACGGGAGAAAGCAGGGGACCUUCGGGCCUUGCGCUAUCAGAUGAGCCUAGGUCGGAUUAGCUAGUUGGUGGGGUAAUGGCUCACCAAGGCGACGAUCCGUAACUGGUCUGAGAGGAUGAUCAGUCACACUGGAACUGAGACACGGUCCAGACUCCUACGGGAGGCAGCAGUGGGGAAUAUUGGACAAUGGGCGAAAACCUGAUCCAGCCAUGCCGCGUGUGUGAAGAAGGUCUUCGGAUUGUAAAGCACUUUAAGUUGGGAGGAAGGGCAGUUGCCUAAUACGUAACUGUUUUGACGUUACCGACAGAAUAAGCACCGGCUAACUCUGUGCCAGCAGCCGCGGUAAUACAGAGGGUGCAAGCGUUAAUCGGAAUUACUGGGCGUAAAGCGCGCGUAGGUGGUUUGUUAAGUUGGAUGUGAAAUCCCCGGGCUCAACCUGGGAACUGCAUUCAAACUGACUGACUAGAGUAUGGUAGAGGGUGGUGGAAUUUCCUGUGUAGCG
rnacentral:rRNA from 1 species